rnacentral:rRNA from 1 species
AUACAGAGGGUGCGAGCGUUAAUCGGAAUUACUGGGCGUAGAGCGCGCGUAGGCGGCUUAUUAAGUCAGAUGUGAAAUCCCCGGGCUCAACCUGGGAACUGCAUCUGAUACUGGUAAGCUAGAGUUUUGGAGAGGGAAGUAGAAUUUCAGGUGUAGCGGUGAAAUGCAUAGAGAUCUGAAGGAAUACCAGUGGCGAAGGCGACUUCCUGGCCAAAAACUGACGCUGAGGUGCGAAAGCGUGGGUAGCAAACGGGAUUAGAAACCCUAGUAGUCC